rnacentral:rRNA from 1 species
AUUGAACGCUGGCGGCAGGCCUAACACAUGCAAGUCGAGCGGAUGAAGGGAGCUUGCUCCUGGAUUCAGCGGCGGACGGGUGAGUAAUGCCUAGGAAUCUGCCUGGUAGUGGGGGAUAACGUCCGGAAACGGGCGCUAAUACCGCAUACGUCCUGAGGGAGAAAGUGGGGGAUCUUCGGACCUCACGCUAUCAGAUGAGCCUAGGUCGGAUUAGCUAGUUGGUGGGGUAAAGGCCUACCAAGGCGACGAUCCAUAACUGGUCUGAGAGGAUGAUCAGUCACACUGGAACUGAGACACGGUCCAGACUCCUACGGGAGGCAGCAGUGGGGAAUAUUGGACAAUGGGCGAAAGCCUGAUCCAGCCAUGCCGCGUGUGUGAAGAAGGUCUUCGGAUUGUAAAGCACUUUAAGUUGGGAGGAAGGGCAGUAAGUUAAUACCUUGCUGUUUUGACGUUACCAACAGAAUAAGCACCGGCUAACUUCGU